CGAAAGAGAGCCGUAACACAGGUGCUGCAUGGCUGUCGUCAGCUCGUGUCGUGAGAUGUUGGUUAAGUCCCGCAACGAGCGCAACCCUUGUCAUAGUUGCUACAUUCAUUGGGCACUCUAAUGAGACUGCCGGUGACAAGCCGGAGGAAGGUGGGGAUGACGUCAAGUCCUCAUGGCCCUUAUAGGUGGGGCUACACACGUCAUACAAUGGAUGGUACAAAGGGUCGCCAACCCGCGAGGGGGAGCCAAUCCCAUAAAGCCAUUCGUAGUCCGGAUCGCAGUCUGCAACUCGACUGCGUGAAGUCGGAAUCGCUAGUAAUCGUGGAUCAGAAUGUCACGGUGAAUACGUUCCCGGGUCUU
rnacentral:rRNA from 1 species